GUGAGGUUUUCACACCAUACAAGCAGUAAACCAUUUUCAAGAGUAGAAGAAGAAUUGAUAUGAGGCUAAAACUCGGACGUCCACCGACUAUUAUAGAGAGGUUUAGAAUGAGUCAAACUCUGUGAGUCACCAAAGACAACUCGACCCCAACGCCAAACCAAUUGUCACCAGAGAAGAUAAUAAACGAAGAUGGAGCAAGUGAUUAAUGACACUUCCGGUAUGUCCGACCUCAAUGUAACCGUGAGAGUGUUCGGGGCCCAACAAUACAGGACGGUGAUGGGUAUGGGGUCAGGCGUGUGACCAUCGUGUUUUCAUAGGGAUCGACGGAGGGACAACAAUUCACAACGUGGAGGGUCGCUAAUGGAGGAGAACCAACGACUCUAGAUGCGGGUCAAGAAGAGGUAGUUCAAAUUAACAAUGAGAGAAUACAAGUAGAAUUAGCGGAACUAGACGAAAAAUUGCAUUUAUAUUAGCACAGUUACAA